rnacentral:rRNA from 1 species
GGGUUGUGAGGUUAAGCGACUAAGCGUACACGGUGGAUGCCCUGGCAGUCAGAGGCGAUGAAGGACGUGCUAAUCUGCGAAAAGCGUCGGUAAGGUGAUAUGAACCGUUAUAACCGGCGAUGUCCGAAUGGGGAAACCCAGUGCAAUUCGUUGCACUAUCGUUAACUGAAUACAUAGGUUAACGAGGCGAACCGGGGGAACUGAAACAUCUAAGUACCCCGAGGAAAAGAAAUCAACCGAGAUUCCCCAGUAGCGGCGAGCGAACGGGGAGCAGCCCAGAGUCUGAAUCAGCU